CUGGUGAUGAUGGUGUGGUGGUGCUGAUGAGAAAAAAGAGUAAUCUGUUUUAGUUGAAAGAUCUGAGUUUGGCCUCGUACUUUAAGGAAAUUGAGGUGUGGAAACAAAAGACAAUCUUGAACAGAAGACCAACAUAACUGCACAUUAAGUAGAGAAAAAGCCUGAAAGUACAGAAAAAGGGUGUGGAUGAAACAGGACAUGAUGUUGCACCAUAGAUGUUACUAAGUAAGUUUGUUUUCUUUCACUUCGUAUUUGUGUGCUUACAAGGUGACCAAAAUGCCCAGAGUGGUUUAGUGCAAUGAUA